GAUGAAGAACGUAGCGAAAUGCGAUAAGUAAUGUGAAUUGCAGAAUUCAGUGAAUCAUCGAAUCUUUGAACGCACCUUGCGCUCCUUGGUAUUCCGAGGAGCAUGCCUGUUUGAGUGUCAUGAAAUUCUCAACCUUUUCAGCUUUCUUUGUUGAUCAGGCUUGGAUGUGGGAGUAUGCGGGCUUCUCAGAAGUCGGCUCUCCUGAAAUGCAUUAGCGGGACCUUUGUUGCCUGGCUUUGGUGUGAUAAUUAUCUACGCCAUUGUAGUCAAGCAGCUUAAAAUGAGGUUUCAGCUUCUAACCGUCUCCCCUGAGACAACUUUUUGACAAUUUGGCCUCAAAUCAGGUAGGACUACCCGCUGAACUUAAGCAUAUCAAUAAGCGGAGGA
rnacentral:misc_RNA from 1 species